UCUCUAUACCUGGGUAGAAUGAGGGUUUGAAGUAGAAUGACAGCUUCUAAAGAACAGUCAGAUAAGCUGGGUGCUGGUGGCUUACACUUGUAAUCCUACUCAGGAGGCCUAGAUCUGAGGAUCACGGUUUGAAGCCAGCCCAGACAGAAAAAUCUUCUAGACUCUCUCUCCAAUAAACCAGCAAAAAGGUCAGCAUGGAGGUUUGGUUCAAGUGGCAAACUGCCAGCUGUGAGUGAUAAAGUUGAGCAGGAAUGGGAAAGUACAGGUGCUGAGUUGAAAACUUAGUACUGACACAAAUAAUAAACAGAUAAAUACUACUAAAAUAGUCAGAUGGACUGAAGACAAAGGGAAAGGGGCCAGAAUUGAAAUAAAGGAAAAAAAUCUGAGCAUAAAAUUUUAAUUUUUAAAAUUUUUAGUUUUAAAGGUUACUGUAGUGACCAAAGACUACAUAAGCAAUUUAAAGUCUCUAGAAAUUAUUCCACAAAGUUAUAUUUUUAUACUUUUUUGGGCUAGUGCAUUAAGUAUGACCUUUAAGGGCCUUGAGGAAUUAUGUCAACAGGAUUUUCACAAACAAAGACUAUAAUAAUUCAAAUUUAAACUUUAAAGUGGUAAAUUUUAUCACAUUGUGAAGAAUGUAGUUAUAAAGGAUUAGAAUGCAAUUCCAUUUUCAAGAAGGUAUGCAGAAAUAUUUCCACAAAUGAAAAUUUAAAGCACAAAGCUAUUCCUUACGGCAUUAUUUGUAACAGGACAGUUAAAAGCAAUCUAAAUAUCCACCACUAAGGGACAGAUAACAUAGAUUAUAGAUAACCAUAAAUGAACUGUUAGUGUAGCCAUUAAAAUAAUUGUUUUUCAAUAAAGUCAUCUCAGUACAUAUCAUGUAAA